rnacentral:rRNA from 1 species
AACGAACGCUGGCGGCAUGCCUAACACAUGCAAGUCGAACGAGACCUUCGGGGUUAGUGGCGCACGUGUGCGUAACGCGUGGGGACCUGCCCUUAGGUUCGGAAUAACUCCCUGUAAGGGGUGCUCAUACCGGAUAAUGUCUUCGGACCAAAGAUUUAUUGCCUGUGGAUGGGCUCGCGUUGGAUUAGGUAGUUGGUAGGGUACAAGCCUACCAAGGCGACGAUUCAUAGCUGGUCUGAGAGGAUGCUCAGCCAGGAUGGGCCUGCGACACGGCCCCGACUCCGAGGGAAGACAGCAGAGGGGAAUAUUAGACAAGGAGCGAAAGCCUGAUACAGCAGUGCCGCGGAAGUGAUGAAGGCCUUAGGGUUGUAAAGCUCUUUUACCCGGGGUGAUAAUGACAGUACCGGGAAAAUAAGCACCGGCUAACUACGUG